UUGGAGGGCAAGUCUGGUGCCAGCAGCCGCGGUAAUUCCAGCUCCAAUAGCGUAUAUUAAAGUUGUUGCAGUUAAAAAGCUCGUAGUUGAAUUUCGGGAUCAAUAUGUUGGUCGUGCCUUGGUACGUACUAGUUUAUUGGUUUCUUCCUUCUGACGAACCAUGAUGUCAUUAAUUUGGUGUCUUGGGGAAUCAGGACUGUUACUUUGAAAAAAUUAGAGUGUUUAAAGCAGGCUCACGCUUGAAUACAUUAGCAUGGAAUAAUGAAAUAGGACGUUUGAUUCUAUUUUGUUGGUUUCUAGGAUCGACGUAAUGAUUCAUAGGGAUAGUUGGGGGCAUUAGUAUUCAAUUGUCAGAGGUGAAAUUCUUGGAUUUAUUGAAGACUAACUACUGCGAAAGCAUUUGCCAAGGAUGUUUUCAUUAAUCAAGAACGAAAGUUAGGGGAUCGAAGACGAUCAGAUACCGUCGUAGUCUUAACCAUAAACUAUGCCGACUAGGGAUCGGAUGAUGUUAAUUUUUUAAUGACUCAUUCGGCGCCUUACGGGAAAC
rnacentral:rRNA from 1 species